rnacentral:rRNA from 1 species
GGUUCAUUCAAAUUUCUGCCCUAUCAACUUUCGACGGCUGGGUCUUGGCCAGCCGUGUGACAACGGGUAACGGGGAAUUAGGGUUUGAUUCCGGAGAAGGAGCCUGAGAAACGGCUACUACAUCCAAGGAAGGCAGCAGGCGCGCAAAUUACCCAAUCCCGACCGGGGGGGUAGUGACAAUAAAUACUGAUACAGGGCUCUUUUGGGUCUUGUAAUUGGAAUGAGUACAAUUUAAAUCCCUUAACGAGGAACAAUUGGAGGGCAAGUCUGGUGCCAGCAGCCGCGGUAAUUCCAGCUCCAAUAGCGUAUAUUAAAGUUGUGAGGUUAAAAAGCUCGUAGUUG